CAUUAAUUAAGAAAUAUGUGAAGUAAAUAAUUGUUAAGAUUUGACCUGUUAUAAUAUAAGGUUCUUCAACAGGUCGUUUACCAAUUCACGUUAGUAAGCAUACAACAACUACUAUAAUUCAGAAUAAAAUUUGAUUAAUAGGGUAAAAUUGAAUGCCUCGGAAUGGUGUUUUAUUAUAAAAUGGUAAAAUUAUUAAGAUUCUAAUUGUUAAAAAUAAUGCAAUAACACCUCCUAACUUAUUAGGGAUAGAUCGUAGAAUUGCAUAUGCAAAUAGGAAAUAUCAUUCUGGUUGAAUGUGAACUGGUGUUACUAAUGGGUUGGCAGGUACAAAGUUAUCUGGAUCUCCUAAUAGGCAAGGAUUAAUUAAACAUAGUAUAAUUAAUAAUGAUGUUAUUAUUACAAAUGUAAUAGAAUCCUUAAAGGUAAAGUAUGGAUGGAAUGGAAUUUUUUCAAUAUCUCCAUUUAGUCCAAGAGGAUUAUUAGAUCCUGUUUGGUGAAUAAAAAAUAAAUGAAUUGCUGCUAUAGCAGUAAUAAUAAAUGGUAAUACAAAAUGGAAUGUGAAGAAUCGAUUUAAUGUUGCAUUAUCAACAGCGAAUCCUCCUCAUACUCAUUGGACUAAAUCUGUUCCUAAGUAUGGGAUUGCUGAUAAUAAAUUAGUAAUUACUGUUGUACCUCAAAAAGAUAUUUGGCCUCAGGGUAAGACAUAUCCUAUAAAUGCAGUUGCUAUAACUAAAAAUAAAAUCACUGUACCAAUUAUUCAGGUAUGUAUAUAUAUAUAAGAUCCAUAGUAAAUUCCCCGUCCUACAUGUAAGUAAAUAAAAAUAAAAAAUAUAGAUGCUCCAUUUGCGUGUAAGGUUCGGAUAAUUCAACCAUUAUUUACGUCUCGGCAGAUGUGUACUACACUACUGAAUGCUAUUUCAAUAUUUGAUGUAUAAUGUAUAGAUAAAAA